rnacentral:rRNA from 1 species
AAUAGAUACCCGGGUAGUCCAUGCCGUAAACGGUGGGCACUAGAUGUGGGGCUCUUUCCAUGAGUUCCGCGUCGCAGCUAACGCAUUAAGUGCCCCGCCUGGGGAGUACGGCCGCAAGGCUAAAACUCAAAGGAAUUGACGGGGGCCCGCACAAGCGGCGGAGCAUGCGGAUUAAUUCGAUGCAACGCGAAGAACCUUACCAAGGCUUGACAUAUACCCUUUAUCCCUAGAGAUAGGGAGUCCUUCGGGGGGUAGUACAGGUGGUGCAUGGUUGUCGUCAGCUCGUGUCGUGAGAUGUUGGGUUAAGUCCCGCAACGAGCGCAACCCUCGUCCUAUGUUGCCAGCACGUAAUGGUGGGGACUCAUAGGAGACUGCCGGGGUCAACUCGGAGGAAGGUGGGGAUGACGUCAAAUCAUCAUGCCCCUUAUGUCUUGGGCUUCACGCAUGCUACAAUGGCCGGUACAAGGGCUGCAAUACCGCAAGGUGGAGCGAAUCCCAAAAGCCGGUCUCAGUUCGGAUUGAGGU